rnacentral:rRNA from 1 species
AGCAGCCGCGGUAAUUCCAGCUCCAAUAGCGUAUAUUAAAGUUGUUGCAGUUAAAAAGCUCGUAGUUGAAUUUCGGGAUCAAUAUGUUGGUCGUGCCUUGGUACGUACUGGCGUCAUUGGUUUCUACCUUCUGAAGAACCUCGAUGUCAUUAAUUUGGUGUCUUGGGGAAUCAGGACUGUUACUUUGAAAAAAUUAGAGUGUUUAAAGCAGGCUCACGCUUGAAUACAUUAGCAUGGAAUAAUGAAAUAGGACGUUUGAUUCUAUUUUGUUGGUUUCUAGGAUCGACGUAAUGAUUAAUAGGGAUAGUUGGGGGCAUUAGUAUUCAAUUGUCAGAGGUGAAAUUCUUGGAUUUAUUGAAGACUAACUACUGCGAAAGCAUUUGCCAAGGAUGUUUUCAUUAAUCUAAGAACGAAAGUUAGGGGAUCGAAGACGAUCAGAUACCGUCGUAGUCGUUUAACCAUAAACUAUGUCCGACUAGGGAUCGGAUGAUGUUAAUUUUUAAUGUACUCAUUCGGCGCC